UAACUCUGGGCUUUCUUCAUUCUCGUACAAAUCUUUCGCCUUUUACUAAAGAUUUCCGUGGAGAAGGCCAAUUUAAUGAGUGUAUAACUAUUUUUUGUUGGCUUGUUAACGCGAGCCG
rnacentral:snRNA from 1 species